AUCGCUUCUUUGUCUAUGGACAUCGAUGAAGUGUAAUAUCUAUUCUCACUUGAGUCAAUCUCAAAUGGUUUCCGAGCUAUCCACGCUAUACGCGAAACGAAACCAGUUUUUGGAAUGGGGAGCUGGAUUAGAGUUCGCUCUGUCCACUCCACGCAUCGACCUGGUAUUGCAGUAUCUCCAGGCACGGUGCACCACCA